rnacentral:rRNA from 1 species
GGAGUUAGCCGGUGCUUCUUCUGUGAGUGAUGUCCUUCCUGCCGGCUAUUAACCCGCAGGCCUUCUUCCUCACUGAAAGUGCUUUACAACCCGAAGGCCUUCUUCACACACGCGGCAUGGCUGGAUCAGGGUUGCCCCCAUUGUCCAAUAUUCCCCACUGCUGCCUCCCGUAGGAGUCUGGGCCGUGUCUCAGUCCCAGUGUGGCUGAUCAUCCUCUCAGACCAGCUACGGAUCGUCGCCUUGGUGAGCCGUUACCUCACCAACCAGCUAAUCCGACAUAGGCUCAUCCGAUAGCGCGAGGCCCGAAGGUCCCCCGCUUUCCCCCGUAGGGCGUAUGCGGUAUUAGCCUGGGUUUCCCCAGGUUAUCCCCCACUACCGGGCAGAUUCCUAUGCAUUACUCACCCGUCCGCCGCUCGCCACCAGGGAGCAAGCUCCCCGUGCUGCCGCUCGACUUGCAUGUGUUAGGCCUGCCGCCAGCGUUCAAUCUGAGCCAUAUCACUACUGA